rnacentral:rRNA from 1 species
UUGAAUUGAAGAGUUUGAUCAUGGCUCAGAUUGAACGCUGGCGGCAGGCCUAACACAUGCAAGUCGAGCGGUAACAGGAAAGUGCUUGCGCUUUUGCUGACGAGCGGCGGACGGGUGAGUAAUGUCUGGGGAUCUGCCCGAGGGCGGGGGAUAACCACUGGAAACGGUGGCUAAUACCGCAUAAUGUCGCGAGA